CUCUUUGCACAGUGGCACUAUCACAGCCAAUGAGGUUUACCUGAGGCAUGAUGAUUGCUAAAUAAAUAUUUCCCAAUGCCACGUGCAAUAGAGUUGGCAUUGGUCAUUUCUUUCUUUUUUUUUUUUUUUUUUUUGAGA
ensembl:snRNA U4 U4 spliceosomal RNA